ACAUGUCUUUAAGAGUAUAAUUUUAAGUCUGAUCUGCUCCAUGAUUGAUUCAUUAAAUAGCUGCAGUAUAUUGACUGUACAAAGGUAGCAUAAUCAAUAGUUUUUUAAUUAAAAGCUGGUAUGAAAGAUUUGAUAAGGUAAAUAUUGUCUCAAUUUUAAUGAAAUUAUAACUUUUUGUUUAGUAAAAAUACUAAAUUGAAUUUAAAAGACGAGAAGACCCUAUAGAUUUUUAUAUUUAAAAUUUAUUUAUAUUUAAUGUAGAAGGGUAAUUAGAUAAUUAAAUAUUUGGUUGGGGAAAUUUUUAAAUUAGUUAAAUUUUAAUUUAUUAAAAACAAUAAUUAUUGAAUAUUUGAUCUUAAUAUAUGAAUUAAAAGAUUAAAUUACCUUAGGGAUAACAGCGUAAUUUUUUUGGAGAGAUCUUAUUGAUAAGAAAGUUUGCGACCUCGAUGUUGAAUUAAGAUAAAAUUUUAAUGGAAAAAUUAAAAAUUUUUGGUCUGUUCGACCAUUAAAAUCUUACGUGAUCU
rnacentral:rRNA from 1 species